rnacentral:rRNA from 1 species
AGGACGAACGCUGGCGGCGUGCCUAACACAUGCAAGUCGAGCGAGGAGAUUCCUCGGGAUGAUCCUAGCGGCGGACGGGUGAGUAACACGUGGGCAACCUGCCUCAUAGAGAGGAAUAGCCUUCCGAAAGGGAGAUUAAUACCUCAUAACAUUGCAGUUUCGCAUGGAACAGCAAUUAAAGGAGUAAUCCGCUAUGAGAUGGGCCCGCGGCGCAUUAGCUAGUUGGUGAGGUAAUGGCUCACCAAGGCGACGAUGCGUAGCCGACCUGAGAGGGUGAUCGGCCACAUUGGGACUGAGACACGGCCCAGACUCCUACGGGAGGUAGCAGGUGGGGAAUAUUGCACAAUGGGGGAAACCCUGAUGCAGCAACGCCGCGUGAGUGAUGACGACCUUCGGGUUGUAAAGCUCUGUCUUCAGGGACGAUAAUGACGGUACCUGAGGAGGAAGCCACGGCUAACUACGUGCCAGCCGCCGC